rnacentral:rRNA from 1 species
UGAGGAAUAUUGGGCAAUGCCCGCAAGGGUGACCCAGCAACGCCGCGUGGAGGAUGAAUGUCGUAAGAUUGUAAACUCCUGUUAGAGGGGAAGAAUAGUACCGGUUGGACCGGUAUAUGACUGUACCCUCAGAGAAAGCCCCGGCUAACUACGUGCCAGCAGCCGCGGUAAUACGUAGGGGGCAAGCGUUGUCCGGAUUUACUGGGUGUAAAGGGCGCGCAGGCGGGAUAAAAAGUCAGUGGUGAAAUCCUACAGCUUAACUGUAGAACUGCCAUUGAUACUGUAUAUCUUGAAUUGAGUGGGAGUGGGCGGAAUAUGACAGGUAGCGGUGAAAUGCAUAGAUAUGUCAUAGAACACCGAAAGCGAAGGCAGCUCACUAUACUUAAAUUGACGCGCAUGCACGAAAGCGUGGGGAGCAAACA